rnacentral:misc_RNA from 1 species
CCGAGUUAGGGUACUCUUCGUGCCCGACCUCCAACCCUUUGUCUACCUGACCAGAUGUUGCUUCGGCAGGGCCCGCCGCCCCGCAAGGGGUAGCCGCCGGGGGCCCUUACCGGCUCCGGGUCCGCGCCUGUCGAUGGCCCUCUACUAAACUCUUGCUUAAACGUGUCGUCUGAGUAAAACAAACAAAAUAAAAC